rnacentral:lncRNA from 1 species
ACUCAUUCUCCGCUCAGCGCGUGAACGCAGCUCGGCAGUGGCUGGCAAGAAACAAUUCUGCAAAAAUAAUCAUACCCAGCCUGGCAAUUGUCUGCUCCUCGGUCCAUUGCUCCGCCGCCGUCCACAGUCGCUUGCAAGGGGAAGGCACUGAAUUUACCGCGGCCAGAACAUCCCUCCCAGCCGGCAGUUUACAAUGCUGCGAACUAAGGAUCUCAUCUGGACUUUGUUUUUCCUGGGAACUGCAGGUAAGGAACUGCCAAUCACGUGACCGUGCGCAGGCAGUGGCAUCAUCAUAACUCGCGGAGGGACAUCCGCCUUGAUCCUGGCAUAUUUUGCUUAUUAUUUUUACUUUAAGAGAAAGUGUGAGUGAGCAGGGGUCAGUUCAGUGUUUAGUUGGUUACUUUCACAACCCCCAAGGCUUGAUGCUGAAUGGGCUUGAAGAUUUUGUACAUACGUGUGUGCACAUGCACACAGUGCAGAAAGCCAGUGUUUUUAUUUGUGAGGUGUUUUUGUCAGUAGUUCACAAUAUGGAGAAUAAUUCACAGAGACUUGAUAGUAAAGCUUUACAAAGACUAAACCUAACUGAAACAGAAGGGUGUUCAUAUUGCUCUGACUUCAUACUUUGGAGCAAGCUCGGUCAAUGGGAUAAUGACUCUUACCUGAGAUUCCUUUAAAUUCGCUCAGUGAUCACUUGGAUACCCCUGCAAAUGAGAAAAUGCAGUUUCCCACCUGCCAAUCACACCUUCAGGCUGUGGGUUUUUUGUUUUGUUUUUAUUGUGGUUAAAAACGCUAUAUAACACCACAUGUGUGUGCUGUUAUGUAGUCAUAUGUGUUUACGUGUGUUUGCUCACAAUGUACAUGCAUCGUGGUAAUUUGCGUUGCUUUCCCCUCUUAGCUGUUAUACACAAUGCUGC